UUGAACCUUGGGCCCGGCUGGCCGGUCCGCCUCACCGCGUGCACUGGUCCGGCAGGGUCUUUCCCUCUGGGGAACCGCAUGCCCUUCACUGGGUGUGUCGGGGAACCAGGACUUUUACUUUGAAAAAAUUAGAGUGUUCAAAGCAGGCCUAUGCUCGAAUACAUUAGCAUGGAAUAAUAGAAUAGGACGUGUGGUUCUAUUUUGUUGGUUUCUAGGACCGCCGUAAUGAUUAAUAGGGACAGUCGGGGGCAUCAGUAUUCAAUUGUCAGAGGUGAAAUUCUUGGAUUUAUUGAAGACUAACUACUGCGAAAGCAUUUGCCAAGGAUGUUUUCAUUAAUCAGGAACGAAAGUUAGGGGAUCGAAGACGAUCAGAUACCGUCGUAGUCUUAACCAUAAACUAUGCCGACUAGGGAUCGGACGAUGUUAUUUUUUGACUCGUUCGGCACCUUACACGAAAGUACAAGUUUCUGGGUUCUGGGGGGAGUAUGGUCGCAAGGCUGAAACUUAAA
rnacentral:rRNA from 1 species